GGCCUUUUGUCGUUAGGGUUUGCCCCCUAUAUUGAGGGAGCCGGUUCGCCGGCUAUGGAAAUAAAUGGCCGUCGUAAGCAACCAUUCGGACCCGGGGGCAGCACCCGGCGCCUCCACCAAAGCCCGGAUUUCCCGACCAAAGGGCGGGUUUCGGCGGGGGCGAAACAGGAUCGACGAGGGCGUAAAGGGCUCGCUUUUUCCCGGUAUGGUUCCGCCGUUAUCGGGCUAUGCAAUAGUUGCAAACGACAACUAUGCUCCGGUUGCUCAGG
rnacentral:tmRNA from 1 species